rnacentral:rRNA from 1 species
AGCGAACGCUGGCGGCGUGCUUAACACAUGCAAGUCGAGGGAGAACGGCGGGCUUCGGCCUUCCUAGUAAACCGGCGCACGGGUGAGUAACACGUAGGUAACCUACCUUCGAGACCGGGAUAACCUAUCGAAAGAUGGGCUAAUACCGGAUAUGACCACGGGAGUCUCGGCUCCUGCGGUGAAAGAUGGCCUCUGCUUGCAAGCUAUCACUCGAGGAUGGGCCUGCGCGCCAUUAGCUAGUUGGUGAGGUAACGGCUCACCAAGGCUACGAUGGCUAGUUGGUCUGAGAGGAUGACCAGCCACACUGGGACUGAGACACGGCCCAGACUCCUACGGGAGGCAGCAGUGGGGAAUAUUGCGCAAUGGGGAAACCCUGACG